CCCCAUUGUGGCGGYCGAGUGCGGAGCGGAGAUUGGCCCCCCAUUCCCCCGUUGGGGUGUGGUCGGCCUAAAARGAAUGGCCCCCGUGUGAYGAGCACCACGACGAGAGGUGGUUGUAUCCAACUCUGCUASACGUCACGUGCUUYGUCUCCGUGGGYUGUAUACGGAACCCUCUGAUCAUACGACUGCGACCCCA
rnacentral:misc_RNA from 1 species